AGAGUUUGAUCCUGGCUCAGGAUGAACGCUGGCGGUAUGCCUAACACAUGCAAGUCGAACGGAACCUUCGGGUUUAGUGGCGGACGGGUGAGUAACGCGUGAGAAUCUGCCUUCAGGAUGGGGACAACAGUUGGAAACGACUGCUAAUACCCGAUAUGCAGCGAUGUGAAAGAUUUAUCGCCUGGAGAUGAGCUCGCGUCAGAUUAGCUAGAUGGUGUGGUAAAGGCGCACCAUGGCGACGAUCUGUAGCUGGUCUGAGAGGAUGAGCAGCCACACUGGGACUGAGACACGGCCCAGACUCCUACGGGAGGCAGCAGUGGGGAAUUUUCCGCAAUGGGCGCAAGCCUGACGGAGCAAUACCGCGUGAGGGAGGAAGGCUCUUGGGUCGUAAACCUCUUUUCUCAGGGAAGAACAAAAUGACGGUACCUGAGGAAUAAGCAUCGGCUAACUCCGUGCCAGCAGCCGCGGUAAUACGGAGGAUGCAAGCGUUAUCCGGAAUGAUUGGGCGUAAAGCGUCCGUAGGUGGUUUUGUAAGUCUGUGGUUAAAGCGCGAAGCUCAACUUCGUAUCGGCCAUGGAAACUACAAGACUAGAGUAAAGUAGGGGUAGAGGGAAUUCCCAGUGUAGCGGUGAAAUGCGUAGAGAUUGGGAAGAACACCGGUGGCGAAAGCGCUCUACUG
rnacentral:rRNA from 1 species